AUACAGAGGGUGCAAGCGUUAAUCGGAUUUACUGGGCGUAAAGCGCGCGUAGGUGGCUAAUUAAGUCAAAUGUGAAAUCCCCGAGCUUAACUUGGGAAUUGCAUUCGAUACUGGUUAGCUAGAGUAUGGGAGAGGAUGGUAGAAUUCCAGGUGUAGCGGUGAAAUGCGUAGAGAUCUGGAGGAAUACCGAUGGCGAAGGCAGCCAUCUGGCCUAAUACUGACACUGAGGUGGGAAAGCAUGGGGAGCAAACAGGAUUAGAUACCCUGGUAGUCCAUGCCGUAAACGAUGUCUACUAGCCGUUGGGGCCCUUGAGGCUUUAGUGGCGCAGCUAACGCGAUAAGUAGACCGCCUGGGGAGUACGGUCGCAAGACUAAAACUCAAAUGAAUUGACGGGG
rnacentral:rRNA from 1 species